CUGCUUGUAAGGUGGCGACGGCGGGCCCGGAGAAAGAUGGCGCUGCGGCCGGGAACGGGAGCUGGGGGCGGCGGCGCCGCGGGAGCCGGCGCGGGGGCCGCCGGGGCAGGCAGCUUCAUGUUUCCGGUUGCAGGUGGAAUAAGACCCCCACAAGCAGGACUGAUGCCAAUGCAGCAACAAGGAUUUCCUAUGGUCUCUGUCGUGCAGCCUAAUAUGCAGGGCAUGAUAGGGAUGAGUUACAGCUCUCAGAUGCCCCAAGGACCUAUGGCCAUGCAGGCAGGGAUACCAAUGGGGCCAAUGCCAGCAGCAGGAAUGCCUUACCUUGGACAAACACCGUUCCUGGGAAUGCGUCCCCCGGGCCCACAGUACACCCCAGACAUGCAGAAGCAGUUCGCUGAAGAGCAGCAAAAACGAUUUGAACAGCAACAGAAGCUCUUAGAAGAAGAAAGAAAAAGACGCCAGUUUGAAGAGCAGAAGCAAAAGCUCAGGCUUUUGAGUAGUGUGAAACCCAAGACAGGAGAGAAGAGUAGAGAUGAUGCUUUGGAAGCCAUAAAAGGAAACUUAGAUGGGUUUUCCAGAGAUGCUAAAAUGCAUCCUACUCCAGCAUCGCACCCUAAGAAACCAGAUUAUCCCACACCAUCUCAUUCUACUAAAACUGUCUCCCCAUCACCUGCCUUUCUUGAUGAAGAAGAAUUCAGUGACUUUAUGCAGGGGCCCGUUGAAGUUCCCACAUGUGGUCCUUCUUCCACUUCCCAGCCUUUUCAGUCUUUCCAUCCCACCACCCCAUUUGGCCAGUUGCAUACACAGAAGGCUGGAGCACAGCCUCUCCCUCCAGGUCAGAUUCCAGUGUCUUUUGCCUUACAUGGUGUCCCUGGGCAAAUUCCUUCUUUCUCUACUGCUGCAGCCUCAUACAAUGUACAGAAAGCAGGCCCUUCCUUGGAGGAGAAGCUCCUAGUAUCUUGUGAUAUAAGUUCAUCUGGGCAGGAACAAAUUAAAUUAAAUACCUCUGACGUUGGUCACAAAGCCCUAGGCCCAGGUUGCAGUAAGAACCAUCCCAGUUUAACGGCCAAAAACGGGGGUGCUAUAGAUGGACGUGUAAGUGGUACCACCAUUGCAGAGGCAGAAAAGACUUCAGACCAAAACCUAUCCAUUGAAGAGAGUGGUGUGGGAGUAUUUCCCUCACAGGAUCCUGUUCAGCCCAGAAUGCCGCCUUGGAUUUACAAUGAGAGUUUGGUUCCAGAUGCCUAUAAGAAAAUUUUAGAAAUCACAGUGACUCCAACUGGAAUAGAUACUGCUAAACUUUAUCCCAUUCUGAUGUCAUCUGGACUGCCCAGGGAAACUCUUGGACAGAUAUGGGCCUUGGCUAAUCGAACUACACCUGGCAAACUUACUAAGGAAGAACUUUAUACUGUUCUCGCCAUGAUAGCGGUAACACAGAGAGGUGUUCCUGCCAUGAGUCCUGAUGCUUUAAACCAAUUUCCAGCUGCUCCUGUUCCAACUUUAAGUGGAUUUCCUAUGACUUUGCCUGCUGCGGUGAGUCAGCCAACUGGGAUGUCUUCAGGCCCUGCCGGCUCCAUACCCCUCAACCUUGGACAGCCGGUCAUGGGCAUUAACCUUGUUGGACCAGUUGGGGGAGCUGCAGCCCAGGCUUCCAGUGGCUUCAUGCCAACUUACCCUGCAAAUCAGGUGGUAAAACCAGAAGAAGACGACUUCCAGGAUUUUCAAGAUGCUUCUAAGUCAGGAUCCCUUGAUGAUUCAUUCAGUGAUUUCCAAGAGUUGCCUGCUUCUUCAAAAACAAGUAAUUCCCAGCAUGGAAGCAGUGCCCCUUCUUUGUUGAUGCCCCUUCCUGGCACUAAAGCAUCAGCUUCGAUGGAUAAGUAUGCUGUGUUUAAAGGAAUUGCAGCUGACAAAUCCUCUGAAAGUAACAUUCCAUUUGGAGAGCCUGGUGAUAAAUACAGUGCUUUCAGAGAACUUGAACAGACAGCAGAGGGUAAAACUUCAGGAGAAAACUUUGCAGAAUUCAGAUCUGCGAGCACUGAUGACGGUUUCACCGAUUUUAAAACUGCCGAUAGUCUAUCACCACUAGAGCCACCAACAAAAGACCAAACUUUUCCAGCAUCCUUCCCCUCAGGAGCUGUACAACAGAAACAACAAACACAAGUGAAGAAUCCUCUGAACUUAGCAGACCUUGAUAUGUUUUCCUCAGUUAACUGCAGCAGCGAGAAACCAUUAUCUUUUUCAGCUGCUUUUAGUGCAUCCAAAUCUGUUUCCACACGGCCACAGCCAACAGGAUCUGCUGCAGCUACGACAGCACUGGCAUCAACUAAGAUGUCUAGUUUGGCUGAUGAUUUUGGAGAAUUCAACCUUUUUGGGGAAUAUUCGAGUCCAGCAUCUGUUGGGGAACAGGAUGACUUUGCAGAUUUUAUGGCUUUCAGUAAUAGCUCUGUUUCACCUGAGCAAAAGGCAGAUGAUAAAUAUGACGCCCUUAAAGAGGAGGCUAGUCCUGUUCCUCUAAGUGGCAGCUCGAGCAGCACAGUGAAGAGUGGACAAAACUCCGCUGCCACGUCCACCAAAUACGAUGUCUUCAAACAACUUUCUCUGGAAGGAUCUGGACUGGGUAUUGAAGAACUGAAGGAUAAUACCCCUUCAGGAAAAAGUGAUGAUGAUUUUGCUGACUUCCACUCUAGUAAAUUUUCUUCCAUGAACUCAGACAAAUCUCUGGGUGAGAAAUCAGUGGCUUUCAGACACACCAAAGAAGACUCUGCUUCAGUGAAGUCCUUGGAUCUCCCUUCCAUUGGUGGCAGCAGUGUUGGCAAGGAGGACUCUGAAGAUGCACUCUCUGUUCAGUUUGACAUGAAACUGGCUGAUGUGGGAGGAGAUCUUAAGCAUGUCAUGUCUGAUAGCUCUUUGGAUUUACCAACAGUUAGUGGCCAGCAUCCUCCUGCUGCAGAUAUAGAGGACUUAAAAUAUGCUGCUUUUGGAACCUACAGUAGCAAUUUUGCAGUGAGCACACUUACGAGCUAUGACUGGUCAGACAGGGAUGAUGCGUCUCAGGGCAGAAAACUCUCUCCAUUUGUCCUCUCAGCAGGAAGCGGGUCCUCCUCAGCUGCCUCGGUUCUUCAAAAGAAAGAGACUUCAUUCGGCAGUUCCGAAAACAUCACCAUGACCUCUCUCUCCAGAGUAACAACCUUCACAAAUGAAGAUGCUCUUCCAGAGGCCACCUUCCCAGCUUUUGCCAGUUUUAAAGAUGUGAUUCCUCAGACCAGUGAGCAAAAGGAAUAUGAAAGUGGGGACUAUAAAGAUUUCACGAGACAGGACUUGCCUACAGCCGAACGGAGCCCGGACGCCACCUGUCCAAGCCCGGCCUCCAGCGGCACUUCUCACGACACUCCCAAAGAAUGUGCAGAUGACUUUGGAGAGUUUCAAAGUGAAAAGCCCAAAAUCAGCAAAUUUGACUUUUUGGUGGCCAAUUCACAGAGCAAAAUGAAAUCCAGUGAAGAAAUGAUCAAAAGUGAGCUGGCGACCUUUGACCUUUCUGUUCAAGGAUCACACAAAAGGAGUUUGAGCCUUGGUGAUAAAGAAAUAAGCCGUUCUUCUCCUUCUCCGGCUUUGGAGCAGCCUUUCAGGGACCGUUCCAACACUCUGAGUGAGAAGCCAGCUCUGCCUGUCAUCCGUGACAAAUACAAAGAUCUGACAGGAGAGGUGGAGGAGAAUGAGAGAUAUGCAUAUGAAUGGCAGAGGUGCCUGGGGAGCGCCCUAGAUGUCAUUAAGAAGGCAAAUGAUACCUUAAAUGGAAUCAGUAGUAGUUCUGUGUGCACAGAAGUAAUUCAGUCAGCCCAAGGCAUGGAAUAUUUAUUAGGUGUUGUUGAGGUGUACAGGGUGACGAAGCGUGUGGAGCUGGGGAUAAAAGCCACCGCGGUGUGCAGUGAGAAACUCCAGCAGCUGCUGAAGGACAUCGAUAAAGUGUGGAAUAACCUCAUUGGCUUUAUGUCCCUGGCCACACUCACGCCCGAUGAGAAUUCACUGGAUUUUUCCUCUUGUAUGCUACGGCCUGGGAUUAAAAAUGCUCAGGAACUUGCCUGUGGGGUGUGCCUUUUAAAUGUGGACUCCAGAAGCCGGAAAGAAGAGAAGCCUGCAGAAGAACAUCCCAAAAAAGCAUUCAACUCCGAAACAGACAGCUUCAAGCUGGCAUAUGGAGGACACCAGUAUCACGCCAGCUGUGCCAACUUCUGGAUCAACUGUGUUGAACCAAAACCUCCCGGCCUCAUCCUGCCUGAUUUGCUCUGAAAAGUACCUCUUUGAAGUACCUACUGGGUCUGUUUUCCCAUCAUACCCCAGGAGGAGACAGGGACCAAUGAACAGAAUGCAGGACUGUGCAGUUCGCUUCCACGAAGCUAUAGGAGGAGUUCCCUGCACGGUCAGGGGCGAGAAAGAAGCUGCGAGCUCCCAGUCGUUCCUGCAGACAUUUGUCCCCUAGGUCCCACCGCAAGUCUUAGGGAUUUGAGGUAAAAUUGCCCUGCCCAAACUGCAUGUGGCACCAGAAGUUUGCUAACUUCUCUCUAGUUCUGCUAAGAUGUUUUAAAAUAUGGCACGGUUUUCUUUAAGGAAUCAUUUGCUGCUGCCGUAUAUUGAAACUGUGAAGAAUUGACAUUUUGACGUUUGAAGAAAAAUAAAUUGUAAUAGGAUUGGAAUUGGCAAGAACGUUUUGAGCCAGUGCUCGCUUCUAUCUAGAACCCUGCUGUCCUGUGAAGUAGAAUGCAUUUACCCACAUGUAGCUUGUUGAUAUCUGAAAUGAAUAAAAAGGGGACAUUGUGACUAAACUGAUGUUCUUUUUAUCGAAAAACUUCCGCUCAUCUCCAUCAGACGAUGGAAGUGGGUGAGGGCAGAUUUACCGACUUUGCGGUCACAGCUGAACCAGUUCUUCUUUUGUUCAUUUCUCAAACUAUCAGCGUUCAAGAAGGCAUUUUCUCAAAACACGCCUGGGCACUUUGCAAUGGAUUGAAUGUUCAUUUUGACAGAGGCCCAAAUCUUUGUGUAUCAGGAUGAAUAAACACCCUUCCCCUUUCGGAGCCUUCACUGAAAACUUUCUUUUACCUCAAAGACUGUGAACGUGGUAUUUUUUGCAGACAAGUUUUGGAAAGGCAGCUGGAUGAAACCUCUUGGCAGUGGCCUUUGUCCAAAUGUCCAGAAAUGACUGACUGCAUAGGGACCAGUACUGCCUGACUUCGCAGUAUUAUGUGAGAGACCUGAAAAUUCAUUCACAGUUGGAAGGUGGAGUUCCUGGCCUACUGAGGCAAACAGAUAAAUCAUCCGAGGGGCCAUGAGAGUCCGUGGGAGCGUGCUGUGACCUCUGGAGCCCAUGAAGAUGCCAGCAAUCACACUUGCAUCGUUGGCAGCAAGACCAGAGGGUUUUGUGUUCCUCCACCAAGGAAUCCAAAAUCAGUGUCCUUCCUGCAAAACACAGAUCAGAAAAUAGAAGGUUCAGAAAGCGUGAGAUGAUUUCAACUUAGAGAAGAUACAUAACAGAACCAGGAAGAGAACCAAGGUUCCGGGCUCCUAGCUCAAGCCCACACACCGCCUUUCUGUGAGACUGUGGAGAGUGGCUCAGCACCUGCCUUACAGCACUCCCAACACCACCAGCCGACGCCUUCAGUGUGUCCAAAGGGUCUUGGAUCUGCCUACGAAGAAUGUGUGUAAGUGCUACUUACAGAAAUGCCCAGAUGGGCUGAGCUACUCCAGUUUCUCCUAUCGCCCAGAAAAGGGACAUACUGCUGCAGACCCAGGUAGCCGUCAGGACACAGAAAGCUCCCUGACAGCAGAGGGACCUCACCAAGGAGCAGCUCCACAACAAGAAGCCCUAGUGUCAGUGCCAAGCUCAGGAGAGUCUGAUCAUGAAGGAUACAUGUGUAUUCCAUCAUAGCUUUGUCAAAAUCAACUUAGUAAAUGUGUACUGGAAGACAGAGGAAGGGCAUCUAUUAGCGGAGUAAGAGACUGAGCCAUGGUUGAGGGAUCAAAGACUGCAAGGUACUGAGUGAACAUACCACUCCCCCUGCAGCACACUUGUCUCUGAGAUGACCAGAGGGCUCGCCAAGGAAUGGCCACGUCGCUGUCCAUGGUGUUCAACUCAGUUCUUCCAAGUUGCUCUGGCAGCUUCAUUUACUUCUUGGAGGGAAAAAAUGCUUUCCUGGCAAGGGGAACGGGGGUGGGGGGGUGUGUGAUGCAAGACAAAAAGGAGGAGCUGUCCUAAGCCAACCUCAGAGAGGUACUUCUUUGUUUACAAGUUACAAGAAACAUCUUGCUGGUCUGAAUAAUAACCAUCAAAGCACUAAAGUGCUAAGCAAAAUGCAGAAUUAGUGUCUGUCCAGGUGGCCUGUAAUCUCAGUGCAUAAGCUAUUAACACCUGAUAGCUCCCUGCACUGGAGAACUCCUGGGGCACAAGCCUGGUGUUAGCACUGGGUAUCCAUACCUGGAGCUACCUGGAGUCACAAUCUACUCAGGGCAUCCAUCCCCAGGCCAUAGGGGCUAGUUUUCCUUCUUCUUCUUUUUUUUUUUUUUUUUUUUUUUUUUUUAAGUCAUAG